rnacentral:rRNA from 1 species
UACGUAGGGGGCAAGCGUUGUCCGGAUUUAUUGGGCGUAAAGAGCGUGUAGGCGGCCGUACAGGUCAGCUGUGAAAACUCGACGGCUCAACCUCGAGACGUCGGUUGAAACCGUACGGCUAGAGUCCGGAAGAGGAGAGUGGAAUUCCCGGUGUAGCGGUGAAAUGCGCAGAUAUCGGGAAGAACACCCGUGGCGAAGGCGGCUCUCUGGGACGGUACUGACGCUGAGACGCGGAAAGCGUGGGGAGCGAACGAGG